rnacentral:rRNA from 1 species
UACGUAGGGAGCAAGCGUUAUCCGGAUUUACUGGGUGUAAAGGGGGCGCAGACGGCGAUGCAAGCCAGGAGUGAAAGCCCGGGGCCCAACCCCGGGACUGCUCUUGGAACUGCGUGGCUGGAGUGCGGGAGGGGCAGGCGGAAUUCCUAGUGUAGCGGUGAAAUGCGUAGAUAUCAGGAGGAACACCGGUGGCGAAGGCGGCCUGCUGGACUGCAACUGACGUUGAGGCCCGAAAGCGUGGGGAGCAAACAGG